UUCUUACAGUUUUCGUGUUUAUUUCUUAAGAUACUUGGUUAACAAAGUAUUAGAUAAGCUUCUUGAAUUUGGAGAUUAUGUCUCCUCUCCCAGAAAUCCACAAUAUGAAAUUGAUAUAUUGGACUGUAGAGGAUCAAUAUAGACUAUAAGACACACAGUAUGCCCCCUCUAACCUGCUGAAACAGAGUUUACCUCUGGAAGGAACUAGCUUCCUUCCAAUGAAGUGUCACGCUAAAUGGUGUUGAACACUGACUCUUCUUGGAGUGCAAAAGACUUAUUUGCUGUGGUCUCCUGUGCAAUAUUUGGCACAUUCUUUAUAAUCUUUACCUUAAGUCUUUUUCAUGGAUACUUUUCUCUGUCUCUCUCUCUUUUUUUUUUUUUUUUUUUUUUUUGAGAUGGAGUCUCGCUCUGUCUCCUAGGCUGGAGUGCAGUGGCGUGAUCUCAGCUCACUGCAACCUCUGCCUCCUGGGUUCAAGUGGUUCUCCUGUGUCAGCCUCACGAGUAGCUGGGAUUACAGGUACGCACCACCACACCUGGCUAAUUUUUGUAUUUCUAGUAGAGACGGGGUUUCACCAUGUUGACCAGGCUUGUCUCGAACUCCUGACCUACUGAGAGUAUUUCUUAAACCUCUUAUCUAAAAUUCAUCACCGUCUUCAAUUUCAGCAUUCAUUUGUCUAUUCCUUUAUUUUUUUCCAUAACAUGCCUUCACGUACCAUAACACUCCCUUACACUGUGCCAUUUAUCUGUUUAGCACCAUGCUUACAAUGUUUUAUAAAGGUAGAUUUUAUGGAAUCAGCAACCUAUCAAACUUAUUAAUCUGUACCUUCCACAUAUAGUAGGCUCUCUUAAUUAUGUAAUAAAUUAAUGACUCAAUAUUGAUAAACUGUAUCUUUCUCAAAUUCCAUAAGAUGGAUUUCUAUUAUAUGUGUUCCCAGACUUUUUCCUUAAAAAGCCUCUAUCUUAGGUUCCUACGCUUGCCUUCAGGAGACUGACUUAACUUUCCUUCUCUUCCUCUUAACUCAAAUGCUAUCAGGUAUAGUCACGGAAUCAUAUUGUGGGUUUCCAUGACUAUACUUGAAGUGCUUCCAUACCUGUUAGCAUUUGAUAGGCCAGAAACACGAGCCCUAGAAUGAGUGUACUUUGUGAUGUUUAUUAUGUUAUCAGAGAUGAGUGUUCUAACACCCAAGGCUUCUUCACAUUCCCAAUAUGUGAAAGUGUGUUUGCAACCACAGAGAAAAGCACUCAAUGCAGACUUGAUUUUAUAUAUUUUGCUUUCAGGCAAUGAAACCCCUGCUGCUAAAGGGUCAUCUACCAUAGAAGAGUAACAACUGGGCCAGUAGAGAGAAAAGCGCACUUUGAAGCAAGCAGAGAGCACAGAAGACAUGUAACUGCUGGCCCUUCAGCCUGUGCCCUAGAAUGAAGACACGAGGAACAAAACUGGACCCAACUGU